UGGGGAAUAUUGGACAAUGGGCGCAAGCCUGAUCCAGCCAUGCCGCGUGAGUGAUGAAGGCCCUAGGGUUGUAAAGCUCUUUCACCGGUGAAGAUAAUGACGGUAACCGGAGAAGAAGCCCCGGCUAACUUCGUGCCAGCAGCCGCGGUAAUACGAAGGGGGCUAGCGUUUUUCGGAUUUACUGGGCGUAAAGCGCACGUAGGCGGACUUUUAAGUCAGGGGUGAAAUCCCGGGGCUCAACCCCGGAACUGCCUUUGAUACUGGAAGUCUUGAGUAUGGUAGAGGUGAGUGGAAUUCCGAGUGUAGAGGUGAAAUUCGUAGAUAUUCGGAGGAACACCAGUGGCGAAGGCGGCUCACUGGACCAUUACUGACGCUGAGGUGCGAAAGCGUGGGGAGCAAACAGG
rnacentral:rRNA from 1 species